CUAUACUAUAUAUAUAAUGCAUAUCCGAAGGGCAGAAAUGGUCAUUUGCCACUUUACAACCAUUCAAGCCUUGUGUACAAUUGUUUAAAGCACAUGAAUGCUUCCGAUACAAGCCUGGAACCCUAAAACUUUCAAAAUUCAAAUCAUCGCGCUCAUUCCAAUCUCUUAUUUUCUCUGGAUCUCUGGAAGACUGGAACCAAAGUUUCAAAAUUCAAAUAAUCAUGGUAUCUCUAAUCUCUCUUUUUCUCUGGAUCUUGAACCCUACGCUCCUUCAUAUCUCCAAUAUCCUCCAUCCGUUCCCCUUCCCCAUGCGCACAAAGAUGAAAUCAGAUGAUGAAUAACCAGAGAUGAAGAACAAAAAUCGAUGAAACUGAAAACACGCAGUGAUGAACACCGAUUUGAAGAAACCCUAACUGAAGAUUUCUUCCGGUCUUCUCUGCUGAGUGCAACCUAACUCUCUUUACUUAAGUGGAACCGAGAUAAGGAAUUGAGGGCCACUUUGGAGAAGGUUAAGCAGCAUAAUUUGCAACUUGCUCUGUCAAGCAUCUCACUGAUAGAGGAACUAUGUUUGGUCAAGUAAAGGGUAAGUACAAUGCUAGGUAACUUUAUUGAAAUUAAUCAAUGUUGCACGUUAAGGAGGUACGGGGGAUCUCGAGGGGUGGUUCGGUGGAGAUCUAAAAGUUCAGGGACUUAGUUUUAAUAAUUGAGUUUUUAGUUUUUAUCUGAUUAGUUUAGAUAGAGUUAAAGUCAAUUUAGGAGUCCUAGUUCAGUAAGUUUCGUAUUGUUGGUAGCUUUAUAAGUAGGUCAUUAUUAAUUGUAAAUUGCAACCUUUUAAUUUAAUAAAAAGUGUCGCUAAAAGUAUUAGCAAUUCUGUGUGUUGUGAACUAUCUGGGAGAUUUGAGUUUGAAGGCCACGAGUCAACAAACUUGUCAUUCUAUUUGACUUUGAACAGUGGUCAGAUUCAUAUCGCUUUGUUUUGUUGUUUGAGUCAGCAAAAAGAUCUCUAUCAUGAGCCUGACCGCAAAAAUCGCUUGAUUGUUGCAAAAAAAAAACGUGGAGUUGGAGGUUAGUUAAUAUAUUCUUCAUUUGUUAGUACACCACAUGAUACAUAGCUUGAACUAUAUUUUGUAGAUGGUUGGUGCCUCUGGGAACAACUUGAUGUGUUGUGUUUAGGGCUGUAAACGAACCGAACGUUCAGUGAAUAGUUCAUGAACCGUUCGUUGGGAAGUUCGUUUACGUUCGU